GCUCUUGUGGUUGUGUAAACUGCACGUGCUGCAUCAAUGGAUGUUGGAACAUCUUGGUCCAGAUUGUGUUCAAAAGCAAGGAGAGUGUGAGUUCAUUUUGACUGUGCACAGAGGAAGAUAGAUGGGACUAGGCUGAAUGUUGAAGACUGUGUCCUCACCUUAGGUGGAGGCAGAAUAAUGGGAUCUGUCUGUUUCUACCUCAUGCAGGACUGCUGUUACUUUGCGCUGCUUUGAUUGGAUUUGUUACUAGUAAGACUUCUGUUGCAUGACUGAUGUGUGGAACUUGGAAAAUGAAAUGAACAGGCCUCAUUACAGUCUUUGACACAAG